GACGAACGCUGGCGGCGUGCCUAAUACAUGCAAGUUGAGCGAUGAAGAUUGGUGCUUGCACCAAUUUGAAGAGCAGCGAACGGGUGAGUAACGCGUGGGGAAUCUGCCUUUGAGCGGGGGACAACAUUUGGAAACGAAUGCUAAUACCGCAUAACAACUUUAAACAUAAGUUUUAAGUUUGAAAGAUGCAAUUGCAUCACUCAAAGAUGAUCCCGCGUUGUAUUAGCUAGUUGGUGAGGUAAAGGCUCACCAAGGCGAUGAUACAUAGCCGACCUGAGAGGGUGAUCGGCCACAUUGGGACUGAGACACGGCCCAAACUCCUACGGGAGGCAGCAGUAGGGAAUCUUCGGCGAUGGACGAAAGUCUGACCGAGCAACGCCGCGUGAGUGAAGAAGGGUUUCGGAUCGUAAAACUCUGUUGGUAGAGAAGAACGUUGGUGAGAGUGGAAAGCUCAUCAAGUGACGGUAACUACCCAGAAAGGGACGGCUAACUACGUG
rnacentral:rRNA from 1 species